rnacentral:rRNA from 1 species
GAUGAACGCUGACGGCGUGCCUAAUACAUGCAAGUCGAGCGAACGGACGAGAAGCUUGCUUCUCUGAUGUUAGCGGCGGACGGGUGAGUAACACGUGGAUAACCUACCUAUAAGACUGGGAUAACUUCGGGAAACCGGAGCUAAUACCGGAUAAUAUUUUGAACCGCAUGGUUCAAAAGUGAAAGACGGUCUUGCUGUCACUUAUAGAUGGAUCCGCGCUGCAUUAGCUAGUUGGUAAGGUAACGGCUUACCAAGGCAACGAUGCAUAGCCGACCUGAGAGGGUGAUCGGCCACACUGGAACUGAGACACGGUCCAGACUCCUACGGGAGGCAGCAGUAGGGAAUCUUCCGCAAUGGGCGAAAGCCUGACGGAGCAACGCCGCGUGAGUGAUGAAGGCCUUCGGAUCGUAAAACUCUGUUAUUAGGGAAGAACAUAUGUGUAAGUAACUGUGCACAUCUUGACGGUACCUAAUCAGAAAGCCACGGCUAACUACGUG